UCAUAUCAGUCGGCUAAAUACUCUCCACAAAAAUACCCAACCAUUAACAUUAAGAUUUUCAAAUCAAUUUAUGGGGUCAAGAAAAUAUUUCAUUCAUCUUCCUUACUUUUCCAUUGUGGUUGUACAAAAAUGUUUGAGGGGUCAAGUGGCUCAAUUGGGUCAAAAAAGAAGUUGUAGUUGUGGACUUGUAGCGUAUAGUUUUACGGCGGCGACCCCUAUAAAUGAUGGUAGACGUUUUUUCAAGUGUUCAAUGCCUGAAUUUUUUUGGGCAGAAACAAGAUUGUGAUUAGUGGGAAUGGCAGGAUGAAGAAUUUUCCCCUAGAGCUGUAAUUGUCAUCAGUAGUCAACGAAGAACAUUAGAUGCUCUUGAACUUGAAAGGGACAGGUUGUUGAAGAAGAUAACUGAUUUUGAGGCUUCUAUUGUUCUUGAUGUUGAAACGACAAUAGAGUUGAGAGAAAAAUUGGAGGCUCUUGAGUUUGAAAGAAACAGUUUGAUGAAGAAGAUGGUUGAUUUAGAAGUUUUUGCUGUUGAGAAUACAUUGAUGAUAGUAGAGUUGAGGCGAAAAUUAUUCAGACAAUUGAUCUUCAUGAUUUUGCUGUUUUAUUGCCUUGUUGCGUUCAUUGCAGCAUGGGUUGGGAAGUGAACAUUUCCUUUAGGAUUUAGUUUAGUGUUGUGUUAUAGUAGUUCGAGAUACCGUUUUAGUGUUAUUAUUUUGGCUUCGUGCUAUUUUAUGGAGGUGUUAUGUUAUAUAAGUUUGUUAGUUGAGUAUUAAGCUUUGAUGGA